GCCCUGGUGGCACAAUAGUUAUAGUGUUUGGCUGCUAACCAAAAGGCUGGUAGUUUGAAUCCACCCAGCGGCU
rnacentral:tRNA from 1 species